GACGCUCCCGCCGGUGGCCUUCGCCGGUCUUCAAAAUCGUUGAGCGAUGGUAGUCCCAUCGCUGGUGGGUCCGACUCUCACGCGCCCUCGCCA
rnacentral:tRNA from 1 species